GAUGAACGCUGGCGGCGUGCCUAACACAUGCAAGUCGAACGAGAAGUUAACCGCUGAUUCCUUCGGGAUGAGGAGGUUAGCAGAAAGUGGCGAACGGGUGAGUAACGCGUGGGUAAUCUACCCUGUAAGUGGGGGAUAACCCUCCGAAAGGAGGGCUAAUACCGCAUAAUAUCUUCACUUCUAAAAGAAGAGAAGAUUAAAGAUGGCCUCUGUCUUAAGCUAUCACUUCAGGAUGAGCCUGCGUCCUAUUAGUUAGUUGGUGGGGUAAUGGCCUACCAAGACCACAAUGGGUAGCCGGUCUGAGAGGAUGUACGGCCACACUGGGACUGAGAUACGGCCCAGACUCCUACGGGAGGCAGCAGUGGGGAAUAUUGCGCAAUGGGGGAAACCCUGACGCAGCGACGCCGCGUGGAUGAUGAAGGCCUUUGGGUUGUAAAAUCCUGUUUUGGGGGAAGAAACCUUAAGGGUCCAAUAAACCC
rnacentral:rRNA from 1 species